UAGGGAAUCUUCGGCAAUGGGGGGAACCCUGACCGAGCAACGCCGCGUGAGUGAAGAAGGUUUUCGGAUCGUAAAGCUCUGUUGUUAAGGAAGAACGAGUGUGAGAAUGGAAAGUUCAUGCUGUGACGGUACUUAACCAGAAAGGGACGGCUAACUACGUGUCAGCAGCCGCGGUAAUACGUAGGUCCCGAGCGUUGUCCGGAUUUAUUGGGCGUAAAGCGAGCGCAGGCGGUUAGAAAAGUCUGAAGUGAAAGGCAGUGGCUCAACCAUUGUAGGCUUUGGAAACUGUUUAACUUGAGUGCAGAAGGGGAGAGUGGAAUUCCAUGUGUAGCGGUGAAAUGCGUAGAUAUAUGGAGGAACACCGGUGGCGAAAGCGGCUCUCUGGUCUGUAACUGACGCUGAGGCUAGAAAGCGUGGGGAGCGAACAGG
rnacentral:rRNA from 1 species